rnacentral:rRNA from 1 species
GGCAGCUUGCUGGACUGUAACUGACGCUGAGGCANGAAAGCGUGGGGAUCAANCAGGAUUAGAUNCNNGGUAGUCCACGCCGUAAACGAUGAAUGCUAGCUGUUAGCGAUAUACUGUUAGCGGCACAGAGAAAUCGUUAAGCAUUCCACCUGGGGAGUACGCCGGCAACGGUGAAACUCAAAGGAAUUGACGGGGGCCCGCACAAGCGGAGGAACAUGUGGUUUAAUUCGAUGAUACGCGAGGAACCUUACCUGGGCUUAAAUUGCAGUGGAAUAACGUGGAAACAUGUUAGCCUUCGGGCCGCUGUGAAGGUGCUGCAUGGUUGUCGUCAGCUCGUGCCGUGAGGUGUCGGCUUAAGUGCCAUAACGAGCGCAACCCUCAUCGAUAGUUACUAACAGGUUAAGCUGAGGACUCUAUCGAGACUGCCGACGUAAGUCGUGAGGAAGGUGGGGAUGACGUCAAAUCAGCACGGCCCUUACGUCCAGGGCUACACACGUGUUACAAUGGGGGGUACAAAGGGCAGCUACCUGGCGACAGGAUGCUAAUCUCAAAAACCUCUCUCAGUUCGGAUUGGAGUCUGCAACCCGACUCCAUGAAGCUGGAUUCGCUAGUAAUCGCGCAUCAGCCACGGCGCGGUGAAUACGUUCCCGGGCCUUGUACACACCGCCCGUCAAGCCAUGGGAGCCGGGGGGACCUGAAGUAUGCAACCGUAAGGAGCGUCCUAGGGUAAAACUGGUGACUGGGGCU